UCUCUUUUCUCUUCAGAUACAUCUAAGAUCAUGUUCCUUUGCUUAUCCACUUCCUUCUCAAGGUCCUUUAUCUUCAAUUUCAACUCAUCUUCUAGAUUCUUUGUUAGCUGCAUAUGUUCCUUGCUUAAUUGUUGUAAAUGGUCCUCCAUUUGUCUGAUCUGUAAAUCACGAGAACGAACCUCGGCCACGAGAUUGUUUACUGUUGCAGUAACACAAUCUUUGUCUGUCAUAAGCAUAUCAUAUUUCAAUUUCAUUUUGUCAAGGUUCUUAUUCAAAGCGUCUAUGUGUAUACCUUUCUCAUUAAGUUCUGUAGGAUAUGUAGGAUAUGGCAUUUGAAAUUUAUGAUUCCUAUUUGUGGAGCAAGAUGAAUGUAUGAUUUGGUUAAGGUUGAAUGCCUUUGUAUGUGAUGUUUGAAAUGUGGUGCUAACGAGGGCUAUGUUGAUUAGGUUAUAUGAAAUUGACAUGUUUUGAGGUGUAUUUGAUGACUUUUAUAGAGUGGUUAUAGGUUUGGUUUGGUAGCCAAGAUAGGUGUGAAAUUUACCUUGUUUUGGAAGCAAAAAUUGGUGCACAUGGCGAGGGAUACGGGCUAUACACGGCCAACCCACACGGUAAUGAAUCUUAAUGAUUUUAGCUGCAGGGCACACACGGUCUAAGACACAACCAGCGACAUGGUAGUGUGACCCAACAACAAAUGGACAUAGGGGCAGUCACACGGCCAUGUGACCUUAAUUUAAAUAUACACACGGGUGGACACACGGUUAUGUGUCUCGACUUUGAAUGUCCACACGGUCUGGGCUGUUACACACGAUCGUGUGUCCCUUGUUUUCAAAAUUUUCAUCUAUUUUCUAACUUUUCCAUUUUGUUUCAAAUUACACCAGAAUGUUUCCAAUCUAUUUUUAGGGCCCCAUAAACUCAGUUUAAGGCCUGUAAGUGUAUGUUAAUUGUGAAUUGAUUGUGAAUUGAUUAAUUGUAAUUAUAUUGAAUAAUUGUUUGAAAUGUUAUCGUAAUACUCCGUGACGUCAAUUCAGCGACAGACACUAGUUAGGGGCGUUAAGUUUAAAUUGUCUUUUAUAAAUUUUAUAUAAAUGCAUGAAAAAAACAAAAAGAAACACUCUAUAAUAAUAUUUAUUUAUCAUUAAAACUUAGUUUUUUAAUACUUUUCUUGAUCGAGUUAGUGUCGAGCUAACUCAUGAUACAGUCUAAAUUCAUGACGCCAAUUCAAUCAUACACUAAAUAAUAGUAUAAAUGUUAUUGUUCAUGAAAAAAUCAAAAUAUAAAUGUUGAAUCCGAAAAUGAAAUCAACGGUUAAGAUUUGAAAUAUAAGUAGAGAUGGUAAUGGAGUGGGGCGGAAUGAUUUUUUGUCCACCCGAAUUGAUAUACCUCUAACAUAAUCCGACUUUGAUCCAACUCAAAAUUAAAUAUUAAUUUACUUAUCUUGAACCUGACUCGAAAAAUCAAAGUUAUACCCUAUUUUGAUAGAUAUACCAAUACUUUUAAUUGUUUUUAUAUAUUUUUAUCAAAAUAGAAUAAUAGUUUUAAAGUUUUUAAUGAUAACAUGACUUUUUUUUGUAGUUAUAGUUAUGGUAGGGAAAAUAUUUUUAUAAUUAUCAUAUUUUAUAAUCUAAUAUUAGAUAUAAAUGGUUAUUUUGGCAAUUUUUUUUAAAUGGGAGAAAGAAUUAUAUGAAAUUGUGAUUCCACGUUAUCUGUACCCUUUUCUAAUACGAAAAUGACAAAUCAGAAUUUAAGAUUUAAUCCAUGUACUUUAAAAGUUAAAAUUUCAAUUAUCCUACUUCUACGAUUUAAAAAUUCUAGUCCAAUUAUUAUUAUCUAUAAUUUUUUGUCAAAAAAUUCAACUUAACAUCAUAUGAAAUGUUAUAUGAUGGCAGUCUAAUCAACAUGCCAAAUUGGAAGAUUUUGAUGGAAAUUAUUAACAAUGUUAAAGAUUGGAAUGAAAUUUUUAAAUCAAAAAAGUAAGAUAGCUAAAUUCCAAAUUUUAUCUAAGUCAAAGGGACUAACAACAUAUUUUCACAAAAGGAAUUGAUAGACUAAUUUAGGUUUUAAAAUAAGAAAAAUUUUCAUUUCCAGCUAUAUUCAACUUGUAUAAAUAUGGAAGCUAGCAUAUAAGGAUAAUAACUUUUCAUGGAAUCUAAGGACAAAAAAUAAUUAACAAUAUAUUUACAGUUCAAACCUCAUAAUUUUCAACCUUAAAACAUUACAUUGAUUAAACACACAAUUAAAAAGUAUCAAGCUUUAAGAACAACCACACACUUUUUUUGUGAAAUUGAAGCCGCAAUUUUUAGCACCUACCAUGGAUUGCUGAUUUUCUGCAUUCCCAAUGAGCAAUAUACUUGCAUCCUAGUUCUGCACAUUCAAGAAAAAUAUAUUCACAAGGCUUACCACAUUCAACACAUUUAUGGUAGUAAGGAAAUUUCUUGACAAAAGUGAAAGGGUAUGGAUGGUCUACCUCAUUGUAGGUGCUCCCGAGUUUGAUGAAUGGAUAUUUUCCAAGAAUACAAUCCACGUGAGCAAAAGUCUCACAAGUUUCACAAUGAUAAAACCAGUUCUUUGAAUCCCUUUUUUCCUCACAAAUGUCACUAUACAAGCCCAUUUUGCCCGGGGCCCAAUAUGGUCCAAAUAAAACCAACCCAAUACCCACCUAGACCUAACCCAAAAUCUAAAGCCCAAUACCCAAAAUACCCCAGACCCUCGGACCCCCUCCCUUGCAGAGAAUAGAAGUGUUUUUUUUUUUAACAGAAGAGAAAUGAAAUAUUUUUAAAGGAUUUUGACUUAUAUAGGGCCCUUCAAACGACGUCGUUUAAGGGCUGGUUUUAAUGGCUCAAAACGGCGUCGUUUUAGCCUUAGGAUCCGCGUGUUAACCCGACCCGUAAGGAGGAUCAGCGUGUUUUGUUGAAACGGGGAAAUUGUGCUUUUGGCCCCUCCGUGUUUUUAAUGUUUCGCAAUCGGAUUUUCUUAUUUUUAAAAUUUACCCUUUAAUUUGUUUUGAUUUCAAUUUGACCCUCUCUGGGACAACGUCGUUUGAUAAGCAAGGGGGUAUUUCCCUCUUCGGUCAUCUGCCUUUCAUGCGUGUUACAAUUUAAUCUUUUUUUAUAUAUAUCUUUAAUUACGGCCCUAAAACAUUGUUUGAUUUUCGAUUUGAUCCUUAAUUGGCUAUUAUAAUUAUCCUUCCUAUUAAAUUGAUUAUUUUAAUUGCAUUAAUGUUAUUAUACAGCGCUAUUAUUUAUUAGUAACAUUAUUAUUUUUAUUUCAUUUAUGCAUUUUUAUUUCUAAAAGUUUAUAUAUAUAGGCAUACAUUUCUCUAAUAUAUUUAUUUUAAAAUUCUUAUAAGUAUGUUGUUAUUUCAUUUUUUAUAUAUGCUUAUUUUUAUAAUAUACAUAUACGUACAUACUUACAUUUUUGUAUUAUGAUUUGCAUACACAUUUAUAUAUCUAUAUAACAUUUCUUAUCUUCGUAAAAACGCAUAUACAAAUUUAUAUAUACCUAUAUUUUCCAUAAUAUAUAAUACCUAUACAUAUUCUUGAUUUUUAUAAAUAUAUACAUGCUACCAUAUAUCUCUUAUUACAUUUUAUAGUAUAUAUAUAUACGCACUUUCAUACUUAUAUAUUUCAUAAUUUCUAUAUACAUACACACAUAUUUUAAUUCAUAUACAUAUAUAUAUACAAAUAUAUACAUAUAUAUAUUUUAUAUAUUCUAUUUUUUUAUUUUUUUAUUUCUACUACAAUUGUGUGUUUCACGCAAUGCUUGUUUUCUAUUUUAUGCCCGUUUUACUCGAAUAGUUUAUCUGUUUAUUACCUUGCAUGAUCAAUUCGAGUUUUAUUUAUCUUUUAUUUGCUGUUGCUCAUGCUAUUUGUGUUUGCAUCAUCGUAUAUACCAUUGCUUUGUCACGCAUAUCAACAAUAUAAUCUAUUUUCUUAUUUUUUAUGACAUCGUGUUUUAUUUUAGUCGAUAUGUCAAAAUUUGUCUUAAAAAAUAGUAUUUCGUAUUUUGAUAUUCGAAAAAUCGUACCCUAACUUACGGGGUUUCGAUUUUCUCGAUAAGUCUAAAUACGCGAAUCAUUUCAAACAAAGUUUUUUUUAUGUUCUCGGGAAUUAAAGAAAGAUCGUGUUCUAACUCACGGGACAUGAUUUCUUUCCUAAACCCGAGAUAAUCAAAUAUUUUCUUUAAAAUAAGUAAAUGUUUUUUGGUAUUCAUUUUCGUAUCGAGAAUUCGAGAUAUUGUGUCAUAACUUAAAGAACGUAAUUCUCUUUCUCGAUCAAUGUAACAUAUGCCUUUUUCUCAAUUUUUUAGCAUUUCAAUAAAGGAUCGUAUUUUAUCUCCUUAAAGUUUCCAAUCUUCGACAUUAAAACACUGAUUAAUCAAUUAGGUACCAAUUUUGGGCGUUACUAGGAUGCUAAUCCUUCCUCGUACGUAACCGACUCCCGAACCUAUUUUUCUGAAUUUCGCAGACCAAAAGCAUUGUUUUAAUAAAUCUAAACCAUUUAUUAAAAAACAACUGCUUUACGAGGUGACCCGAUCACAUCUCAUCAAAAAAAGAUUGGUGGCGACUCCCACAUUCGUUUUCAUUUUUUAAAAUCCAAGUCGACCCUAUUUUAUCAAAAAAAUGGUGUCAACAGUCACAACAAUAAUAUUUUACAUAAUCAUUAAUAUUUUCAUAAGUGAGAGUAAGAAUAUAAACAUCGCAUUUGAGUUUAACUGUAGUUGGUAGCAGAACACACCAACCGCAUAAAUUAAAAUUACAAUCCUUACAACAAAAUGCGGUAAUGAUAUCCCUCCCACAAGCACUACUGCUCCUCAUAAUCAUAAUAGAAAAGUAGAGGGCGUUUAUGCCCUGGAAUUUUUACAGCAUCUUGGAGAGUUGCACAUCGAACGCACGUGUGAAUUCCACAUUCAUUACUGCAUUGAUCACAUUCCCAAUCAGAUCUUCCCACGAAUCUAUCUACCUUUCUUUAUUGGGAUAAUAUAGUUUUUGGCCCUUAAACUUAAUAAUUAAAUUUUCUUUGAUACUUGUAUUUUUUUUACUUUGGUCUUUGAAUUUGACAACUAAAUUCAUUUUGAUCCUUAAACUCGGUACUUGAGCAUUUUAUGAAUUUUAAUUAUUUAUUAAAUUAUUAUUGGUCCAACGGUUGUACUGAUCGAAUUGAGAAUCAGUGAUCUCAGUUAUUAAAACACUGAAUUUGACACUCUUAAAAUUAAUGUGUAGUAAAAUUUUAUUUUGGCCCCCAAAAUGAAAAAAUUUAUUUCAGUGCUUUUGUAAAUAAAGAAAUUAUAAAUUAAUAAAUAGUAAAAUUUCUCUUUAGCCCCUUAAAAAUGAAAAAAUAAUAAUUAAUAUAUAGUAAAAUUUCUCUUUAGCCCCUUAAAAAUGAAAAAAAUUAUGUUUAAUUCCUUAAAAAAUCAUGAAAUUAUAAAUUAAUACAUAAUAAACUUAUUUUUUAUCUAUGAAAAAAUUAUAAUUAAUUCCGCCCCUUGUUAAAAAAAAAUUCUAGAUUCACCCCUACCGAAGUGAACAAAAAAAAGUACAGAUACCAAAUUGAACUUUUAGGGGUCAAAAAUUAUAUUAUCCCUUCUUUAUCUUUCAUUUUUAUUUUCUAUUUUUUUACAAUUUUUGGCAUUUAAUUAAGAGAAAAUUGGGGCUCAUUAUCAUCUCUUAUCUCAAGGUAUUCACGGUUUAAAAUUAAGAGAAUUAAGAGAAGUUUUGAGAGGUUAAAGUUAAAAUUAUUUCAUUAAAAUAAAUAUUAAACUUUUGAAAGGAUCAAAAAUAAAAAAAAUCAUUUAACAAAAAAAUUUAAAAAGAAUUAAAUUGAAUUUUUAAUAUUUUAGAAAGACUAAAAUUAAAUUGUACCAUUUAAUCAGGUCCAUAUUCUUCUUAUAAAUCAACCCUUUAUUCAUUGAAAUAUAUAUUUGUUUCUUUGAAAAUAUUUUUUAUGAAAUAUUUUUAAAAAAUUUGUCAAAUUAAUGAAAAUAUUUUACAUCGAUUCUAAACAAAUUUUCCAGUCUAAACAAUUUUUUUUUUAUAUCUAACUAUAUUCUACUUAUAUAAAUAUGGAAGGUGGCACAUAAGGACUAAAUAUUCAUGGAAUCUAAGGAUUAUUAUGAUUUUAGUUAGCAUGCAACAAAUUUAAUAUAUGAAAAUUAAAGAAGAUAUAAGCAAAUCAUAUCAAUUUUAUUCUCAUAUAUUUACAAUUCAAAUCUAAAUACAUUACAUUGUUUAAACACACAAUUAAUAAGUAGCAACCAUUAACAAUAACCACACACUGUCUUGUUCUGAAAUUGAAGUCGCAAUUUUUAGUAUCUACCACUGAUAUCUGCAUUUCCAAUGAGCAAUAUAGUUACAUCUUGGUUCUGCACAUUCAAGAGAAAGAUCUUCACAGGGCUUAUCACAUUUAACACAUUUAGGAUAGUAAUGAAUCUUCUUGACAAAAGCGAGAGGGUGUUCAUGGUUUCCCUCAUUGUAGGUGCUUCCGAGUUUGAUGAAUGAAUAUUCUCCAAGAACGCAAUUCACGUGAACAGAAGUGUCACAAGUUUCACACUGGUAAAACCAGUACUUUGGAUCCCUUUCUUUCUCACAAAUGUCACAAUAAUGAUAUUUUGCAUAAUCAUUAACCUUGUCAUAAGUGAGUGCAAGAAUAUGUUCAUCGCAUUUGUGUCUAACUCUAGUUGGUCGUAUAACACAUAAAUUGCAUAAAUUAAAAUUGCAAUCCUUGCAACGAAAUGCGCAAGAGAUAUCCCCCCCACAACCACUACACUGCUCCUGAUAAUCAUAAUAGAGAAGAAGAGGGUGUUUAUGCCCUGGAAUUUUUACAUCAUUUUGGAGAGUUGCACAUUGAACGCACCUGUGAAUUCCACAUUCAUUACAUUUAUAAGAAAAUCCAUUAGAAAGGUACCCGCAUAUAUCACAUUCGAACAUGCAGUCUGAAGUAAGGAUGAAGGAUUUUGAUCCAGAAAAAGGCUUUCCAGCACAACGAUGAUCCAAAAUAAGGUCCAUCUUAGGUAAUUCAGCACAAGAUUUAUGAAGAAAGAAAUCACACCGCAUGCAAUGGUAGAACUUAGCGGAGAUCAAUAACAAGCACCCAUCACAACAUUUAUCACCAUGCUCGCUGAUUUUGUCACUUAACAUCAAGUAGUGCCUAUGCUUGCAAUGUUCUAUGAGUGUGGCUUCUCCAGCAUCAUUCGUCUCAAGAACCUUAGUGAUGGAGUUAACAGGUAUAUCAAGAGACUUGUCAGCUUCAUUUUCCUGUGAUACUAUGCAAUACAACUUCUUUUCUUUCAAUGCACAAUCCACAUGGAAUAUAACAUUACAAUCUGCACAGAAGUAACUACCGUGCUCUGUAUCGACAACUUCAUGGCACAUAAUGCAAUUCAAACUUUCAAAAUAUUCCUUGUGAAUGAAAUACGUGUGAAAAACACGAUGGACAUGGAAAGAGUGUUGGAGAAUGCGUGGCAAUGAAAUGCAUUUUUUAUGGACCAUAAUACUGCAUGUACAACAUGCAUAGGCAACAUGAUGUCCUUCGGUGCCACAAGCAUCACAAAUGAAUGGAAUUUGUCUCCAAAACAAGGUGAAUGGGUGUUGAUGACUUUUAUCUUCAAUAACUGGUAAUGGCGAUAAACAAUCAAUAUGAAUAGCCAAAUUACAAGUUGAGCAACCAUACAGAAAGCCUCUUUGUUGGGUUACUUGGCAUAUCUUGCAAGAAAGCCGUUCACUAUUAAAUUGCAGAAGAAGAGGAUGUUUGCGAUGGCACACAUGACCCAUUUUGGGAGGAAGCUCAGCACAUUUCUUAUGCAAAUUAAACCCACAAUCAAGAGAGAAGUAUGUAUAAAUUGCUAAUGGUUCCCAACACGCAAAGCACUUACCCAGGUUUCCACCAUCGUUCUUAGAGGAAAACGAUGGAUCCUCAAGGGCCACAUGCUCAAGCUCUUUCAAAUUUCUUUCAGCAAUAUUAAAUGUAAACAAAGCACAUUUAAUAUGAAAGUUCAAGCCACAAGAGCAAUGGUAAAUGAAUUUCUCACAUGUUUCAUCACAGAAAUCGCAAACGCACCUUGUGUAAGAAGAUGGUGGAUUCUGCAAAAGCAGGAGAGGAUGGUGGCGAUGAAAAGGAUGAUUAAGCUCCAAAGGUGCCUGGGCACACGUCUUGUGGAGGUAAAACCCACUGCACUCCACACAGCUAAAACAUGGAGCUGACACCUUCUCCCCACACCUUGAGCAAUCAACAACUCCAUUGCCAUUGCCAAGCAACUGCUCUUCAUUUAACAUCAACAGUGGAUGUUGAUGCCCGUAGUUCUUUAGCUCUUCCAUUUCUCCUUCCUCUCUGUAUCUUUCGAUGUGGUAGAGAAAGAAAAAUUGAAAUUGAAUAACUCAAAGAAAGCAGAAAAUUAGAAGGGAGAGAUUCCAAAUGUUUAUUUGUAGGAGUCUCUUUGAACUUGCUAUGGUACUUUGCUUCGACGGUGUGUUGCCUAUACCCAUAUAUGUUUCUUCUUUAUAAUUACUAUGAAUGGGAUGCAAUGGGUUUGAGUGUACUCUUAAGUAAAUUAUCAAUUUUUUUCCUUUAUUCUUUGCUUUGUGGAUUAACUAAUUUUGUGGAUUAGAUAAUGAAUAUUCUGAUAUUGUUUGUGUGUAAAAAUAUAAGAUAAUAAGAUGAAAGGUAUUUUUAUAGGUUACGAGUUUUUCAAUUGAGAAUGAUAUCAAACAAUCAAAUUAUUCUAAAAAAAUUUGAAUCAAACAAUCAAACCAUUUAUCUAAUCGAAAAUUAAAAGCCUAUUUAAUUUAUUCUGGUGAUUAGAAUAAAAAAAUUUUGAACAAAGCUAGAUAGAUUAAUUAUACAAUUACCGAGCCACCAAUCGGCUCUCUUAGGAUAAUCUGCUACAGAAAUUACUCUUAACUCCCUUGGUAUUUGCUCAACCACUUCAAUCCCAAUGGGGUCAUCGUUCAUUAAACUAACCAUAUAAUUAGAUGUGAAUGAGACAUCUUUAUUAUAGGAAUGAUCCACAUUCGCUGUCCUGCAGUACAAAACUGUUGGAACACUGGCAGCAACAACCAAACAAUGAAACACUAAGAGCAUAAGCUCUUCAAACAGCAAGCAGAAACACAAAGCAUCAAGAGCAUAAGCUCUCGGUUAACAGGCAGAAAAAAGAAAAAGAAAGAACAAUGGCAGCAGCUCUUAGAAAAAGAACAAAACAGAGAACAAAGGAGGAAGAAACAAAAAUAAUUUACUUGCUCACAAACGUGCAGCAAGGAAGCAAUCUAAGUUUCACAACUGAUAUGCUUAAUUUUUCAAUAAGAAAAACAAUACAUUUAUAGCCAACCACAUCAGUUAUUACUACCUAAUACCACUAAGUAGCCUAGUAACUUUAAAAACAUUGCUUGUACACAUGGAUAAGCUGACUUAUCAGCUCAACCAACCCAUCAAAACAUCAACAUCAAAGUUCAUUCUCAACCAAACUAAAUUACAGAAUCAUCAUAGUACCAUGCAUUUUAACAAAAACAUAAUAGCAGCAUGGUUGGCCAUUUUUAACACAAACUGAAUCUACAAGCUAAUGAUAGAAACAUAAACCAAAAUAUAUAGUACAUUGUUUGAUUAAAAUUGAAAACAUGGUUCAUAUUUGUCCACUGUAAUGUUCAGGUGUUCAAUAACAUGCAAAAGAUAUAUAUAUAUAUAUAGUCUAAUGACAGCUUCAAGUUUAUCUAAGCAAAUACGAAUAUAUCACCCAAAACUUCCCACAGAAACUCAAAUUUAAGUACUAAUAAGUUCAUAAAACAAGUUAAACGAAAGAUUACAUCAAGGGAAAAAGACAAUCCAGACAAGUAACUAUACCGAUACUCAUAUUUAAUCGAACUCAUAAAGCGAUAAACGCUUGUCGUUUGUGCUUGAGGAAUGUCUGAAGCUCUUUAUAACCACUCCUGUAAUGGUCCAGACUGAAUGUAAGCUGUCUUAUUACCUCUCUUUUCUCUUCUGACACAUCUAAGAUCAUGUUCCUUUGCUUAUCCACUUCCUUCUCAAGGUCCUUUAUCUUCAAUUUCAACUCAUCUUCUAGAUUCUUUGUUAGCUGCAUAUGUUCCUUGCUUAAUUGUUGUAAAUGAUCCUCCAUUUGUCUGAUCUGUAAAUCACGAGAACGAACCUCGGCCACGAGAUUGUUUACUGUUGCAGUAACACAAUCUUUGUCUUUCAUAAGCAUAUCAUAUUUCAAUUUCAUUUUGUCAAGGUUCUUAUUCAAAGCUUCUAUCUGUAUACCUUUCUCAUUAAGUUC
rnacentral:lncRNA from 1 species